rnacentral:rRNA from 1 species
CACGUAGGGGGCGAGCGUUGUCCGGAUUUAUUGGGCGUAAAGAGCUCGUAGGCGGUUCACUAAGUCGGGUGUGAAACCUCCAGGCUCAACCUGGAGACGCCACCUGAUACUGGUGUGACUAGAGUCCGGUAGGGGAGUGUGGAACUCCUGGUGUAGCGGUGAAAUGCGCAGAUAUCAGGAAGAACACCAGUGGCGAAGGCGGCGAUCUGGGAAGAUACUGACGCUGAGGUGCGAAAGCGUGGGGAGCAAACAGG